rnacentral:rRNA from 1 species
CAGCCGCCGCGGUAAUACGAAGGGGGCUAGCGUUGCUCGGAAUGACUGGGCGUAAAGGGCGCGUAGGCGGAUGGCACAGUCAGAUGUGAAAUUCCCGGGCUUAACCUGGGGGCUGCAUUUGAUACGUGUUGUCUAGAGUGAGGAAGAGGGUCGUGGAAUUCCCAGUGUAGAGGUGAAAUUCGUAGAUAUUGGGAAGAACACCGGUGGCGAAGGCGGCGACCUGGUCCUUUACUGACGCUGAGGCGCGAAAGCGUGAGGAGCAAACAGGAUUAGAUACCCCCGUAGUCCCUGUCUCUUAUAC